GAAUGCUGACAUAAGUAACGAUAAAGCGGGUGAAAAGCCCGCUCGCCGGAAGACCAAGGGUUCCUGUCCAACGUUAAUCGGGGCAGGGUGAGUCGACCCCUAAGGCGAGGCCGAAAGGCGUAGUCGAUGGGAAACAGGUUAAUAUUCCUGUACUUGGUGUUACUGCGAAGGGGGGACGGAGAAGGCUAUGUUAGCCGGGCGACGGUUGUCCCGGUUUAAGCAUGUAGGCUGGUUAUCCAGGCAAAUCC
rnacentral:rRNA from 1 species